rnacentral:rRNA from 1 species
GAUGAACGCUGGCGGCGUGCCUAAUACAUGCAAGUCGAACGAGUUCUCGUUGAUGAUCGGUGCUUGCACCGAGAUUCAACAUGGAACGAGUGGCGGACGGGUGAGUAACACGUGGGUAACCUGCCCUUAAGUGGGGGAUAACAUUUGGAAACAGAUGCUAAUACCGCAUAGAUCCAAGAACCGCAUGGUUCUUGGCCGAAAGAUGGCGUAAGCUAUCGCUUUUGGAUGGACCCGCGGCGUAUUAGCUAGUUGGUGAGGUAAUGGCUCACCAAGGCGAUGAUACGUAGCCGAACUGAGAGGUUGAUCGGCCACAUUGGGACUGAGACACGGCCCAAACUCCUACGGGAGGCAGCAGUAGGGAAUCUUCCACAAUGGACGCAAGUCUGAUGGAGCAACGCCGCGUGAGUGAAGAAGGCUUUCGGGUCGUAAAACUCUGUUGUUGGAGAAGAAUGGUCGGCAGAGUAACUGUUGUCGGCGUGACGGUAUCCAACCAGAAAGCCACGGCUAACUACGUGCCAGCAGCCGCGGUAAUACGUAGGUGGCAAGCGUUAUCCGGAUUUAUUGGGCGUAAAGCGAGCGCAGGCGGUUUUUUAAGUCUGAUGUGAAAGCCCUCGGCUUAACCGAGGAAGCGCAUCGGAAACUGGGAAACUUGAGUGCAGAAGAGGACAGUGGAACUCCAUGUGUAGCGGUGAAAUGCGUAGAUAUAUGGAAGAACACCAGUGGCGAAGGCGGCUGUCUGGUCUGUAACUGACGCUGAGGCUCGAAAGCAUGGGUAGCGAACAGGAUUAGAUACCCUGGUAGUCCAUGCCGUAAACGAUGAAUGCUAGGUGUUGGAGGGUUUCCGCCCUUCAGUGCCGCAGCUAACGCAUUAAGCAUUCCGCCUGGGGAGUACGACCGCAAGGUUGAAACUCAAAGGAAUUGACGGGGGCCCGCACAAGCGGUGGAGCAUGUGGUUUAAUUCGAAGCAACGCGAAGAACCUUACCAGGUCUUGACAUCUUUUGAUCACCUGAGAGAUCAGGUUUCCCCUUCGGGGGCAAAAUGACAGGUGGUGCAUGGUUGUCGUCAGCUCGUGUCGUGAGAUGUUGGGUUAAGUCCCGCAACGAGCGCAACCCUUAUGACUAGUUGCCAGCAUUUAGUUGGGCACUCUAGUAAGACUGCCGGUGACAAACCGGAGGAAGGUGGGGAUGACGUCAAAUCAUCAUGCCCCUUAUGACCUGGGCUACACACGUGCUACAAUGGAUGGUACAACGAGUUGCGAGACCGCGAGGUCAAGCUAAUCUCUUAAAGCCAUUCUCAGUUCGGACUGUAGGCUGCAACUCGCCUACACGAAGUCGGAAUCGCUAGUAAUCGCGGAUCAGCACGCCGCGGUGAAUACGUUCCCGGGCCUUGUACACACCGCCCGUCACACCAUGAGAGUUUGUAACACCCGAAGCCGGUGGCGUAACCCUUUUAGGGAGCGAGCCGUCUAAGGUGGGACAAAUGAUUAGGGUGAAGUCGUAACAAGGUAGCCGUAG